AAAGUCGUAACAAGGUUUCCGUAGGUGAACCUGCGGAAGGAUCAUUAUUGAAUUAAUGGGUUGUGCUGGUUUACAAGUGCACGCCCUUAUCAAUUUCUAUACACCUGUGCACCUUUGUAGAUUUGGGGGAGUAAUCCUUCGAAUCUAUGUUUAUAUACCCCUUUUAAAUGUUUUUGAAUGUUUCUUGUCUUUUGACAAAUAAAUCUAUACAACUUUAAGCAACGGAUCUCUUGGCUCUC
rnacentral:misc_RNA from 1 species